AGUGAGGAAUUUUGCGCAAUGGGGGCAACCCUGACGCAGCAACGCCGCGUGAGUGAAGAAGGCCUUUGGGUCGUAAAGCUCUGUCAACAGGGAAGAAAUUAGUUUCUAUUAAUAGUAGAUUCUAUUGACGGUACCUGUGGAGGAAGCGCCGGCUAACUCCGUGCCAGCAGCCGCGGUAACACGGGGGGCGCAAGCGUUAUUCGGAAUUAUUGGGCGUAAAGGGCGCGCAGGCGGUCUUGUCMGUCAGGUGUGAAAGCUCGGGGCUCAACCCCGGAAGUGCACUUGAAACAGCAAGACUUGAAUACGGGAGAGGAGAGAGGAAUUCCUGGUGUAGAGGUGAAAUUCGUAGAUAUCAGGAGGAACACCGAUGGCGAAGGCAUCUCUCUGGACCGAUAUUGACGCUGAGGCGCGAAGGCGUGGGUAGCGAACGGGAUUAGAUACCCCGGUAGUCCACGCAGUAAACGUUGUACACUCGGUGUGGCGGAUAUUAAAAUCUGCUGUGCCC
rnacentral:rRNA from 1 species